UACGGGGGGGGCAAGCGUUGUUCGGAAUUACUGGGCGUAAAGGGCUUGUAGGUGGCCAACUAAGUCAGACGUGAAAUCCCUCGGCUUAACCGGGGAACUGCGUCUGAUACUGGAUGGCUUGAGUGUGGGAGAGGGAUGCGGAAUUCCAGGUGUAGCGGUGAAAUGCGUAGAUAUCUGGAGGAACACCGGUGGCGAAGGCGGCAUCCUGGACCAUUACUGACACUGAAAAGCGAAAGCAUGGGGAGCGAACAGG
rnacentral:rRNA from 1 species